UACGUAGGGCGCAAGCGUUGUCCGGAAUUAUUGGGCGUAAAGAGCUCGUAGGCGGCUUGUCACGUCGAUUGUGAAAGCUCGGGGCUUAACCCCGAGUCUGCAGUCGAUACGGGCUAGCUAGAGUGUGGUAGGGGAGAUCGGAAUUCCUGGUGUAGCGGUGAAAUGCGCAGAUAUCAGGAGGAACACCAGCGGCGAAGGCGGCGCUCUGGGCCGGUACUGACACUGAGGAGCGAAAGCGUGGGUAGCAAACAGG
rnacentral:rRNA from 1 species